rnacentral:tRNA from 1 species
GGGGUUGUGGCUCAGGGCUAGAGCGCUCACCUUGCAGGUGAGAGGCCCUGGGUUCGAUUCUCAGCACCA